rnacentral:rRNA from 1 species
UACGUUAAUAGCGUAUUCGUUUGACGUUAGCGACAGAAGAAAGCACCGGCUAACUCCGUGCCAGCAGCCGCGGUAAUACGGAGGGUGCGAGCGUUAAUCGGAAUUACUGGGCGUAAAGACGCAUGCAGGUGGUUUGUUAAGUCAGAUGUGAAAGACCCGGGGCGUCAACCUCGGAAUAGCAUUUGAAACUAGGCAGACUAGAGUACUGUAGAGGGGGGUAGGAAUUUCAGGUGUAGCGGUGAAAUGCGUAGAGAUCUGAAGGAAUACCGGUGGCGAAGGCGGCCCCCUCGGACAGAUACUGACACUCAGAUGCGAAAGCGUGGGGAGCAAACAGGAUUAGAUACCCUGGUAG